CCCACGUGUUGGUCAUCCCUCUCCCGUAUUUUUCCUCACCUCAAAUUGUGUAUCGCACUUGAAAAUCUUCAUUCAAAAUCAGGGCUUAGGUUUUGGGGCUUCUCAGCUGUAGUUGUCUGUGCUUUAAUUGAUGGAACCCGGUGAUGGGUCUGAUUUAAAUGCUGGUGAUGGGGUAAAGUUUCCGUCCCUUCUUGCUUCUUCCCGCUUUGAUUGAGCUUCGAUAUGCGCUGCUCAUUCAUCCCUGGACGAGAUGUCGCAUUAAAUCAUAUACCUGGGUUACAGAAGGACAUUGUUGUCCCAUACUACUGUUAUACUGGUGGUGGGAGCUUAGGCCGAUUAAUGUUUGGUUCGGUCCUGCUGGGAAGUUGACACCAUUGCACCAUGAUCCACAUCAUAAUAUACUGGCUCAGGUUCUGCGGCUUUGGAGAUGAAAAAGAAUAGUUUGCAUGCGGAAUAUUUGCCAGCCAAUCCAGAUGCAUCUAUUCUUGAACCUAAUGAGGUAUGUAAUAAUUAAAAGAUGUAAACUGCUUUGCUGUAGUCAUUCACUCAGGAUGAUCCUUUGUCGCUGGCCUAAUGAAAUUUGGAUAAGUUCAAAGUCAAAGAGGCUUACAAGCUUGAUUUUCUCAUUAGGCCGCAGAAAAAAUCACUUCAAAUGCAUACAUCCAUCGUAAAUGCUACAUAUAAAGGAUUUGUAGAAAUUAAGACAGUGAACAAUGACACAGUAGUACAGAGCUUUCACUUGGAAGGCUAUUCAUUUUUCGUUGUUGGGUGUGAUUCCCUAUUUUGGUCUACCACUUCCAUAUGUGACUCAAUGCCAGUAACCUCAUAUUCAUAAUUAAUUCUGAACAUUGUAGGAUGGCUUAUUGAGAGUGGACCCCGAAUAUUAGGAAUUCUUAUAAUAAAUAUGAUGCUAUAUUGAGCUACAUUACACAGGUUGGUUUGCGGAAAAAAUAAUAUUGAUUUGGCUUCUACUCAGAAUG